rnacentral:rRNA from 1 species
UACAGAGGUCCCGAGCGUUGUUCGGAUUUAUUGGGCGUAAAGGGUGCGUAGGCGGCGGAGUAAGUUGGGUGUGAAAUCCCGGGGCUUAACCUCGGAAUUGCAUUCAAUACUGCUUCGCUCGGGUACUGGAGAGGAGGCUGGAAUUUACGGUGUAGCAGUGAAAUGCGUAGAUAUCGUAAGGAAGGCCGGUGGCGAAAGCGAGCCUCUGGACAGUUACUGACGCUGAUGCACGAAGGCCAGGGGAGCAAACGGG